rnacentral:lncRNA from 1 species
CAGAAACAAGAUGCAAUAAUUCCUACCACAUAAGAGAUGAACCAAAAUUCAUAAUCAGUCUACCGGUUGAUCAACCUCUGCAUAAGCAGUUUCAAGGUGUGCUUGCUCAGCUUCUUGCACCUCCUUCUCAGUUUUCCUACCCUUCUUUGAUUUGUAGUACACACUCAUAAAUGUUCCAACAGCUCCAUACUUCUUCCUGCUCUGUUCAUACAGACCUGCAUCAAACAUCCUCCAGAAAUUCUUCUCAGACAGCUCAGAAACAGCAUACUGUGGCUGAAAACCAUGAUUCUCGAUCAUCCAGCUCUCCAAUUUGCGCACUGCUUCUGCACCAUCAAAUACCUCACCCCUCAAAACAGGACCUGGUGCAUAGUAAACUCCAAUGUCUGUGUACAUUUGAGCAGUUUGUGUGUCUCCCUGCCUGCGCUGCAGUUCGAAGCCUGGCUCUGGGUAAAUCAUAGUUUUGACAGGCAGCUUGAACAGUUUGUGAGGGCAAAGCCAAAUGGGAUAUACCUAAAAAGAUGACAAUCAACAACAUAAGAAACAAAAUUGAUGAAUGCAUGACUCAAAUAAUAUAAGCAAACCAAACCCCAUAGUUAAUUAAAUGAUAGGACAUCUUGAAUUGAAAUAAAAUAGAACAACAUUUUGGAUUUGGAAUAAGCAAGACAAAUUAUAACACCGCUAUGUUGGCAAACUCACAACUCGAAAUUUUCUUGAGGGCAAAACCCCUUUAUGUGUUACAAAUAAAUAAAACUGUUGGGAUCAUUUAAUUUAGAACACAAUAGACAGUGUAAAUGGGCUUUUCUUGCAAAACAAUGACCCAGGAGAUCAGCCCCAAAGUUAAGCUUCUUAUGAGUGAAACUAUAAUUUUAAAUGACUUCAUCUUGAAAGAAACAGUCUGAAAAGUAAAAUUCAUGUAAAACAUUAUUAAGGUGGGGUAAGAAGGAAAAUGUACCUCCAUCUCACGGUGAACCCAUUCUAAUGCAUCACCGACCUUGUACAGAGGAACAAGCAUGUCUUGGAUGACAUGCAUUUCAUGGUAAUAGUUUCUUAUAGCUUCACCUUGAGUUGCCUUGAGGAGAGAAACCUUGGGUGGCAUCAACCAGCCAAAGAGAAACCUAAACCAACAUUGAUCAGCAAAUGGGAGGAUAAGUUUUCCCUCCCAGUACAGACACCUUGUGUGCCUGUGAUAAUAUUCUCUGGUCGGGAUGUACUCAAUAAACUUCCCUUUCUUCAGUGCUGUCUGGGCAUGUUGAUAGAACCAGGGUUUAAACCACCAUCCUACACUGUUGAUCUUAUUCCCUUUCAGCUUAGCCUCUUCUUUUGAAGCAUAUCUCCCAGUCAUGCACACAGCUUCUGUUGGAUUAUAAAUCAUUGUUUCUACAAAGUCUGGAACCUUGUCAUCAUUAUCCUGGUCUCCAUCUCUUGGAGCAAAAGAAUCAAUAUAUCCCUGUGCAAGUUCUUUCAGGUUACCAACAACAGGUUCAUAAGUUAGCUUCAUAUACUCCUUAAUGGGAAUAAGCUUAAUCUCAGCAGCAACAAGAAGCCCAAGUGUUCCCUGAGACCAUGGAAUUGCAUGAAAUAAAUCAGAGUAGUCAUUGUCCCUGGUAGCUCUAACAAGAGUACCAUCUGCCAAAACAAUUUCAUAAGCCACAACAGUAUCAGAGAACAAGCCAUAUUUGUGAGAACUUCCUUCUAUCCCAUAACCGUUAAUAAGGCCACCAAGUAGGACAUAUUGGGAUUUAUACAAAAUACUUGGGAUCCAUAUUUUAAGUUAUAGGGUCAAAAAUAUAUGUCUUCACGUUUAUACAUGAAAGUUUUUUGUAUAACUCAAACCCAGCUUAGGGUAUGCAAAUUGAGUUUCAUCCACAUGAUCCACAAAAUUAUCACUGAGAUACAUUUGAACAAAAUUGUAAGUCUAAUAUUGGAAUUUAGAAUAGGUUUUUUUGCAUUAAAAAAUUAAAGAGUUUUAUUGUUUCUACACAAACAUUGGCUUGAAAACUAUAAUCUUGGGCAAGGACCAUUUAACCAAACAUUAUAAAAAUAGAAAGAAGGUUUACAUACAAUUUUAAUUUUUAUAGUUUCUAACUAUUUUGAUAUUGGCCCUUUUAAUUUAAAGUGUAGUUUCAAGUCCUUAUAUUUUUAAAAUCAUAUAAACUCUGGAAAAAUAGGGACUGUGAUCAAACUUUUAAAUUAUAAGAAUCAAAACAUAAUGUUUUUGGAAAACUAUAGACUAAAUAUAUAUAUUUAAACUUAAAAACCCAAAUAGUAAAACAUUGUGAAACCACUAUGCACAGUGAAUGUAUCUCCACCAUUAAAAUGAGUAAAACUGAAAAAUAAUUUUUGGACCAUGGCUUGGUUUGACUUAAGAGAGUUUCAAGCAGGGCAGAUAUUGAAGGGCCAUACAAAAACACAUUGGGUACAACGCAUGCAUAUGCACACAUGCAAAGACCCUCAAAUGUAAGAUGCAUUAGACUUGCAAACAAGAACUUCUAGAAUUAAGCAUUUCAGUCUCAAAUCAUCACAUAAGAGAUGAACCAUAUGGCAUAAAGACAACUAAGUCAAGUCCACAUAAUCCAUAAAGGACAACUAAAUCAAUCACAAAAGCCAGAUCAAUCCAAAAACACAAAAGCAUAAUGAUAAGUUCAGAAACAAGAUGCAAUAAUUCCUACCACAUAAGAGAUGAACCAAAAUUCAUAAUCAGUCUACCGGUUGAUCAACCUCUGCAUAAGCAGUUUCAAGGUGUGCUUGCUCAGCUUCUUGCACCUCCUUCUCAGUUUUCCUACCCUUCUUUGAUUUGUAGUACACACUCAUAAAUGUUCCAACAGCUCCAUACUUCUUCCUGCUCUGUUCAUAC